AGGAUGAAAGAUGCUCAAAGCUGAAGAUAUACCCAAUACUGCAGAAGGUUUAUCUUGAAAGGAUUUUGAGGAAACCAGAAAUCGAUGUGUUUGCAGAGGAGCUGAGGCCGCAUCAAAAAGCUUUAUUGCCAGAUAAGUCCCCUGUGCUUAACCGGGCA